AAACUAACAAGGAUUCCCCUAGUAACGGCGAGUGAAGAGGGAAGAGCCCAAGAUUGAAAGCUGGCGCCUUCGGCGUCCGCAUUGUAAUCUCAAGAAGUGUUUUCCGCUUCGGACCAAGCCUAAGUCCCUUGGAAAAGGGCAUCAUAGAGGGUGAUAAUCCCGUACAUGGCUUGGAGCGCCCGAAGCUUUGUGAUACGCUUUCUAAGAGUCCAGUUGUUUGGGAAUGCAGCUCAAAAUGGGUGGUAAAUGCCAUCUAAGGCUAAAUAUUGGGGAGAGACCGAUAGCGAACAAGUACAGUGAUGGAAAGAUGAAAAGAACUUUGAAAAGAGAGUUAAACAGUACGUGAAAUUGCCAAAAGGGAAGGGUAGGAGGUCAGAGAUGCGGCCUGGGAUUCAGCCUUGCUUUUGCUUGGUGUUUUUCCCAGAUUGCAGGCCAACGUCGGUUUUGGGCACUGGAGAAGGGUAGGAGGAACGUGGCACCUCUCGGGGUGUGUUAUAGCCUCCUACUGGAUACAGCGACCGAGACCGAGGACAGCAGCGUACUCGCAAGAGCGGGCCUUCGGGCACCUUUACGCUUAGGGCGUUGGCAUAAUGGCCCUCUACCACCCGUCUUGA
rnacentral:rRNA from 1 species